CAGCGCAGGCAACGUUAGCCUACACUAGCAGCUAGCUAGCUAGCAUAGACCGUUUCUUUAGCUUAACGCCAAAGAAAGGCAGGCACACAACUACACAAACAAACGAGACAGCAGUGAACCAUCAACUAACCGAUUGAGGCAGCGGUGGAACAGAAAUUCCCGUUUUCUUCUAGCUAUUCUUAGCUGGGAGCUGUGUGCAGUGACUGUCUCUACCUCACAAACAGAACACCUUGAGGGAAGAGGGAUUAGAAUACAGGUGCCGUGCUUCUUGAUGAGCCUAAUGAGGAUUAUCUGGGAGCUGUCUCCACACCUGUAACGUGUUGCCCAUUACUGCUCCUGCAGUAUAAAGGUGUGUGAGUGUUUCGCUCCUCUGUUUGGCAUUAAGAUCUGAGAGAUGCAUGCACUUAAUGCACCUUUUU